AUGAAUCCGGGUGAAGGACUUUAGCUGAAUCCAUCAAUAUAAGCAUUUCAUGUGAGUCUGAGGCAUUGUUAUCAUUUGGAAUAAUAGCACUUAAAAUCACACCAAAGCCAUGUUUUAUUUUUCCUAAGGAUCACAACAAGUUAUAUUUGUUGUUAUGUUUAAGCACCAGGAAAUCAUUGACUGUAGAUAAAGAGUCAAAUAGCUGAUGUUUAUCAUGAAUCCAUUAUUACUGAUGUUUUCAAAUUUAAAUGACAGUUUCUCUUUUAAUAUGGUAUUUUUUUAAAUUACCUUCAAAUACCCCGUUUUAUGGUCUGUUUAGAAAAAUAGAGCCAUCAAAUCCCAAAUGCCUAAUCUCAAGGAGUACAAUUUUUAUGUUGUGUUACUGUCAUACCCAGAUUUAAAUUCUACCAUCCUCAAAACCAACGAUGGUUAAGAAUUUUUCUUUGUGCACAAGCUGAGUAGAGAUUUUAUUCUUUUUGAAGUACUUGGAAAAACUAAAGGAUAUCUCACCGUAGGGCAAGAAGACCAAGGGGCCAAAGUUAUAGAUUCACCAGGAGGCAUGCCCCCAUUCUAGACCACAUCCCCACAAGGGGCCAAAGUUAUGGUGGUCACAUAGAUGUAAAUUCUAAUGAUUCUUUAAACUAAAUCUUUGUGGCUUCCUCCUUAUGGAAAAUAGAUCUUCCAAUGGAGUGCUAAAAAGUAUUAUUCUUAAUUAUGGGGAAAAAAAACUAUUGCAUAAAAAUGUUUCUUCAAACUUGUCUGUUCUAAGAAUCUUGGCCCAGCCAUCAGAAUAAAUAGAAACAAUAAUUUAAAGUUCUAGAAGACAGAUAAAUUUUUUAGCAAGUGUGUGUUUUAUAGCAAGCAUGAACAAACUUAUAUUUAAAUAUGUGUGUGUGUGCUUGAUUUUAACUUUCAAGACAUUAGCUG
rnacentral:lncRNA from 1 species